CCUACGGGUGGCAGCAGUGGGGAAUAUUGGACAAUGGGCGAAAGCCUGAUCCAGCCAUGCCGCGUGUGUGAAGAAGGCCUUCGGGUUGUAAAGCACUUUCAGUGGGGAAGAAAGCCUUGGGGCUAAUACCCUCGAGGAAGGACAUCACCCACAGAAGAAGCACCGGCUAACUCCGUGCCAGCAGCCGCGGUAAUACGGAGGGUGCGAGCGUUAAUCGGAAUUACUGGGCGUAAAGCGCGCGUAGGCGGUCUGAUAAGCCGGUUGUGAAAGUCCCGGGCUCAACCUGGGAACGGCAUCCGGAACUGUCAGGCUAGAGUGCAGGAGAGGAAGGUAGAAUUCCCGGUGUAGCGGUGAAAUGCGUAGAGAUCGGGAGGAAUACCAGUGGCGAAGGCGGCCUUCUGGACUGACACUGACGCUGAGGUGCGAAAGCGUGGGUAGCAAACAGGAUUAGAUACCCUGGUAGUC
rnacentral:rRNA from 1 species